GGGUGACGAGCGGCGGACGGGUGAGUAAUGUCUGGGAAACUGCCUGAUGGAGGGGGAUAACUACUGGAAACGGUAGCUAAUACCGCAUAACGUCGCAAGACCAAAGAGGGGGACCUUCGGGCCUCUUGCCAUCAGAUGUGCCCAGAUGGGAUUAGCUAGUAGGUGGGGUAAUGGCUCACCUAGGCGACGAUCCCUAGCUGGUCUGAGAGGAUGACCAGCCACACUGGAACUGAGACACGGUCCAGACUCCUACGGGAGGCAGCAGUGGGGAAUAUUGCACAAUGGGCGCAAGCCUGAUGCAGCCAUGCCGCGUGUGUGAAGAAGGCCUUCGGGUUGUAAAGCACUUUCAGCGAGGAGGAAGGUG
rnacentral:rRNA from 1 species